CUACCGUCGCGUUAUUUUACGAACUAGGUCGAACGGCUCGGCCGUCAUACCGCGCAAGCCUAAUCGUCGCGAAUCCGCCGUCCUACUGCUCGCGCCUUUCUUUUCACCGAUCGACCGCCCGCUAUUUCAUCGCGCCUUUAUCUCCCUGCCUCGCAGCUCUCAAAUGCGAUACCGAUCUCGCUACUCGAGCCGUUCCACUCUAUCGCGGUACUCUUACUUAUCAGCCGACUCUGAUGUCCAUUUUAAAUAACCAUUUUAAAUAUCGCCAACGCGGGAAACCGAGCUUCGCGGAACUCCAAUGCGCCCCUAGACAGCGAGAAAAAGAACUACGCGACCAUCGUUACCGUGCCACGGUGUAAUUACGGAUCGCCCCAACUAUGGUGGACUUUCUCGAAGAGAUUGUUCAGAGACGCGUAGAUUUUCCUCGUUCCCGAUCGUUCUCCGUAUCCUGUGAAGCGUAAAAAGUAGCCCGCGACGCGAAUCUCGUGCUUCGAGAUCAGAGAAGCCUGUGAUUACGUCACCGAUCAAUGUCACGACUAAGCCGGCGUUAAAAAUCCAGCUACGACGAGUGUACACGGGUAUAAGCACGGUUUGGCGAGAUAAAAGACGCAGCGUUACGUCACCCAUUGCGGAAGCGUUGGCGGAAAUUAGCGAAGAGGUUACGAAGUGUCCUUCGAUAAAAUUGGUUCGUUGCCCAACGCGUUAUUGGCGCUGGUCCUCGGAUAGCGAUGGCGUAUUCCUCGCGAGGAGCGUAGAUGACACGGUAACGAGUGUUCGAAUCGACCGCUAUCCGGAAGCGCGUACACCGCGUGGACCCUUGGAAAGGAAGCGGACUUUCGCCCUACUGGAUCCGCGCCGUGGAUCAUCGUUAAUUCCAGAGGGCACCAGCGACAGCCUCCGUAGCUCGGUCUCUCUUUUAACGAGCUCCGAUGAGAACGAAUUACUCUCGCUGCCUACUCCCCGAUCCCAGCUGCUCCUGGCCACCGCUUAAAUGCCGUUGGCAUUUCAUCACUUCGCGAGGAGGUCCGCUCUUUAGUUUCGCUGCCAAGAGGAAUCCCCGCGCCGAGGACGAGCCGGUGGAAACUCGUUAGACCACAAUUAUCCUCGACGGAGAUCGGUAUCGGUAAGGAUAUUUUGCUGUGCUUGCGACCAGGAAAUUUAAUAUGGCUACUCGCGCUCCGUUAUCUCUCGCGAUAAGUACCUUGUCUAUUCACGGAGCCUCGUGUUUCUGGCAAAACGAAAUUGUAUUACGCGUUAUCUUCGACUUUUAAAUUCCGCUCGGGAAAUUUGUUAUUCAAAAUUGACCGCGGCAGUCCUACGCGGUAACGGAAUUUUUAUUUCUAUUUAUCCGUUUGGCGGAUAAAACGGUCUGUAAUAACGUAUAACUCGCGCAUUUGGCAAAUAAAUUAACUCUACAGGGAAAAAAAACAUUUAUUUUAAUCAUCGCAUUACGGUUUAAUUGUGAAAAAUUAUACGUUAAAGUAGUGUUUAAUUUUAUCUAAC